AGGAAGGUAGUGUAGUUAACACCUGCAUUAUUUGACGUUACCUACAGAAGAAGCACCGGCUAACUCCGUGCCAGCAGCCGCGGUAAUACGGAGGGUGCGAGCGUUAAUCGGAAUUACUGGGCGUAAAGCGCAUGCAGGCGGCCUGUUAAGUCAGAUGUGAAAGACCCGGGGCGUUAACCUCGGAAUUGCAUUUGUAAACUAGGCAGGCUAGAGUCUUGUAGAGGGGGGUAGGAAUUUCAGGUGUAGCGGUGAAAUAGCGUAGAGAUCUGAAGGAAUACCAGUGGCGAAGGCGGCCCCCUCGGACAAAGACUGACGCUCAGAUGCGAAAGCGUGGGGAGCAAACAGGAUUAGAUACCCUGGUAG
rnacentral:rRNA from 1 species